AACGAACGCUGGCGGCAUGCCUAACACAUGCAAGACGAACGAGACCUUCGGGUCUAGUGGCGCACGGGUGCGUAACGCGUGGGAACCUGCCCUUAGGUUCGGAAUAACUCCCCGAAAGGGGUGCUAAUACCGGAUAAUGUCUUCGGACCAAAGAUUUAUCGCCUUUGGAUGGGCCCGCGUUGGAUUAGCUAGUUGGUAGGGUAAAAGCCUACCAAGGCGACGAUCCAUAGCUGGUCUGAGAGGAUGAUCAGACACACUGGGACUGAGACACGGCCCAGACUCCUCCGGGAGGCAGCAGUUGGGAUAAUUGGACAAUGGGCGAAAGCCUGAUCCAGCAGUGCCGCGUGAGUGAUGAAGGCCUUAGGGUUGUAAAGCUCUUUUACCCGGGAUUAUAGUGACAGUACCGGGAGAAUAAGCUCCGGCUAACUCCGU
rnacentral:rRNA from 1 species